GUAGGUGGCAAGCGUUGUCCGGAAUUAUUGGGCGUAAAGCGCGCGCAGGCGGUUCUUUAAGUCUGAUGUGAAAGCCCACGGCUCAACCGUGGAGGGUCAUUGGAAACUGGAGAACUUGAGUACAGAAGAGGAGAGCGGAUUCCACGUGUAGCGGUGAAAUGCGUAGAGAUGUGGAGGAACACCAGUGGCGAAGGCGGCUUUCUGGUCUGUAACUGACGCUGAGGCGCGAAAGCGUGGGGGGAGCAAACAGGAUUAGAUACCCUGGUAGUCCACGCCGUAAACGAUGAGUGCUAAGUGUUAGGGGGUUUCCGCCCCUUAGUGCUGCAGCUAACGCAUUAAGCACUCCGCCCUGGGAGUACGGCCGCAAGGCUG
rnacentral:rRNA from 1 species